rnacentral:rRNA from 2 species
AAAACGACUCUCGGCAACGGAUAUCUCGGCUCUCGCAUCGAUGAAGAACGUAGCGAAAUGCGAUACUUGGUGUGAAUUGCAGAAUCCCGUGAACCAUCGAGUUCUUGAACGCAAGUUGCGCCCGAAGCCGUCAGGCCGAGGGCACGUCUGCCUGGGCGUCACGC